rnacentral:rRNA from 1 species
AUUGAACGCUGGCGGCAGGCCUAACACAUGCAAGUCGAACGAGUGGCGGACGGGUGAGUAAUGUCUGGGAAACUGCCCGAUGGAGGGGGAUAACUACUGGAAACGGUAGCUAAUACCGCAUACCAUCGGAUGUUCCCAGAUGGGAUUAGCUAGUAGGUGUGGUAACGGCUCACAUAGGCAACGAGCCCUAGCUGGUCUGAGAGGAUGACCAGCCACACUGGAACUGAGACACGGUCCAGACUCCUACGGGAGGCAGAAGUGGGGAAUAUUGCGCAAUGGGCGCAAGCCUGAUGCAGCCAUGCCGCGUGUAUGAAGAAGGCCUUCGGGUUGUAAAGUACUUUCAGCGAGGAGGCGUUACUCGCAGAAGAAGCACCGGCUAACUCCGUGCCAGCAGCCGCGGUAAUUC